rnacentral:rRNA from 1 species
UACGGAAGGGGCAAGCGUUGUUCGGAAUCAUUGGGCGUAAAGGGCGCGUAGGUGGUUCUGUAUGUCUACCGUGAAAGCGUACGGCUCAACCGUAUUUUGUCGGUAGAAACUGCAGGACUUGAGGCUGGGAGGGGCUGGUGGAAUUCCCUGUGUAGCGGUGAAAUGCGCAGAUAUCAGGAGGAACACCAAUGGCGAAGGCAGCUCGCUGGAACGGUACUGACGCUGAGGCGCGAAAGCGUGGGGAGCGAACAGG